UCAGUAAGUGCUAGCUAUUAUCAGUCC
rnacentral:piRNA from 1 species